rnacentral:rRNA from 1 species
UCUUGCACAAUGGGCGAAAGCCUGNUGCAGCAACGCCGCGUGAGCGAUGAAGCCCUUCGGGGUGUAAAGCUCUUUCGGCAGGAACGAUAAUGACGGUACCUGCAGAAGAAGCUGCGGCUAACUACGUGCCAGCAGCCGCGGUAAUACGUAGGCAGCAAGCGUUGUUCGGAAUUACUNGGGCGUAAAGAGUGUGUAGGCGGUUCUCUAAGUUCCGUGUGAAAUCUCCCGGCUUAACNUGGGAGGGUGCGCGGGAAACUGGAGGGCUGGAGUAUGGGAGAGGAAAGCGGAAUUCCUGGUGUAGCGGUGAAAUGCGUAGAUAUCAGGAGGAACACCUGCGGUGUAGACAGCUUUCUGGACCAUCACUGACGCUGAGACACGAAAGCGUGGGUAGCAAACAGGAUUAGAUACCCUGGUAGUCCACGCCCUAAACGAUGCAUACUUGGUGUGAGCCGUUCAUUCGGUUCGUGCCGGAGUUAACGCGUUAAGUAUGCCGCCUGGGGAGUACGGUCGCAAGGCUGAAACUCAAAAGAAUUGACGGA